rnacentral:rRNA from 1 species
AUUGAACGCUGGCGGCAUGCUUUACACAUGCAAGUCGAACGGUAACGGGCCUUCGGGUGCUGACGAGUGGCGCACGGGUGAGUAAUGCAUCGGAACGUGCCCAGAGGUGGGGGAUAACGCAGCGAAAGCUGUGCUAAUACCGCAUGUGAUCUGAGGAUGAAAGCGGGGGACCAAGCAGCAAUGUUUGGCCUCGCGCCUCUGGAGCGGCCGAUGUCAGAUUAGGUAGUUGGUGGGGUAAAGGCCUACCAAGCCGACGAUCUGUAGCUGGUCUGAGAGGACGACCAGCCACACUGGGACUGAGACACGGCCCAGACUCCUACGGGAGGCAGCAGUGGGGAAUUUUGGACAAUGGGCGCAAGCCUGAUCCAGCAAUGCCGCGUGCGGGAAGAAGGCCUUCGGGUUGUAAACCGCUUUUGUACGGAACGAAAAGGCUCUGGCUAAUACCUGGGGCUGAUGACGGUACCGUAAGAAUAAGCACCGGCUAACUACGUG